AUUGAACGCUGGCGGCAGGCCUAACACAUGCAAGUCGAGCGGUUGAAGGGAGCUUGCUCCCUGAUUCAGCGGCGGACGGGUGAGUAAUGCCCAGGAAUCUGCCUAUUAGUGGGGGACAACGUUUCGAAAGGAACGCUAAUACCGCAUACGUCCUACGGGAGAAAGCAGGGGACCUUCGGGCCUUGCGCUAAUAGAUGAGCCUAGGUCGGAUUAGCUUGUUGGUGAGGUAAUGGCUCACCAAGGCGACGAUCCGUAACUGGUCUGAGAGGAUGAUCAGUCACACUGGAACUGAGACACGGUCCAGACUCCUACGGGAGGCAGCAGUGGGGAAUAUUGGACAAUGGGCGAAAGCCUGAUCCAGCCAUGCCGCGUGCGUGAAGAAGGUCUUCGGAUUGUAAAGCACUUUAAGUUGGGAGGAAGGGUUGUAGAUUAAUACUCUGCAAUUUUGACGUUACCGACAGAAUAAGCACCGGCUAACUCUGUGCCAGCCGCCGCCGUAA
rnacentral:rRNA from 1 species